AUUGAACGCUGGCGGCAUGCCUUACACAUGCAAGUCGAACGGUAACAGGUCUUCGGAUGCUGACGAGUGGCGAACGGGUGAGUAAUACAUCGGAACGUGCCCGAGAGUGGGGGAUAACGAGGCGAAAGCUUUGCUAAUACCGCAUACGAUCUCAGGAUGAAAGCAGGGGACCGCAAGGCCUUGCGCUCACGGAGCGGCCGAUGGCAGAUUAGGUAGUUGGUGGGAUAAAAGCUUACCAGGCCGACGAUCUGUAGCAGGUCUGAGAGGACGACCAGCCACACUGGGACUGAGACACGGCCCAGACUCCUACGGGAGGCAGCAGUGGGGAAUUUUGGACAAUGGGCGAAAGCCUGAUCCAGCCAUGCCGCGUGCAGGAUGAAGGCCUUCGGGUUGUAAACUGCUUUUGUACGGAACGAAAAGACUCUUUCUAAUAAAGAGGGUCCAUGACGGUACCGUAAGAAUAAGCACCGGCUAACUACGUGCCAGCAGCCGCCGUAAGAC
rnacentral:rRNA from 1 species